rnacentral:sRNA from 1 species
AGGCGGCCUGAGCCUUCAAAGGCUUGAAUUUCAUCUCCGGAUCGUGACCACGGAUGUACUGGCACGGUUCGUUGAGAUGGCAGGGAAGGUCGGGUUAGCCCGGCCUUUUUUUGUU